rnacentral:tRNA from 1 species
GCCUCGGUGGUGAAAUUGGUAGACACGCCAGACUCAAAAUCUGGUAAGCUUGCUUGUGUCGGUUCGAGUCCGACCCGGGGUACCA